AUACGGAGGGGGCUAGCGUUGUUCGGAAUUACUGGGCGUAAAGCGCGCGUAGGCGGUUUUUUAAGUUGGGCGUGAAAGCCCGGGGCUCAACCCCGGAACUGCGCUCAAAACUGGAUGACUAGAGACCGGGAGAGGGUGGUGGAAUUCCCAGUGUAGAGGUGAAAUUCGUAGAUAUUGGGAAGAACACCAGAGGCGAAGGCGACCACCUGGACCGGUACUGACGCUGAGGCGCGAAAGCGUGGGGAGCAAACAGGAUUAGAAACCCCAGUAGUCC
rnacentral:rRNA from 1 species